AAACUUAAUUGUUUUCCCAUAUUUAAACCUGUGCUACCCAGUCUGACAGCAGAGGAGCUUGUCAGCACUGGUUUUUCCGUGUCACCAGCCCCCCCACACGGAUUGAGGAGUUGUAAGAUGUCUGGUCCGGUUUCACCAGAUAAGGAGAAAUGUGUUACACCUGCUCCAAAAAAGGCUGUGGUUAAAACCAAACAUUUAUCGUGCACUGAAUGUGCCUGUCCUUUGCCUGAUGGUUCAAAAAAGAAA